UCAAGUUAUUAAGGGUGCAGGGCGGAUGCCUUGGCACUAGGAGCCGAUGAAGGACGUGAUAAGCUGCGAUAAGCUUCGGGGAGUUGCACGUAAACUUUGAUCCGAAGAUUUCCGAAUGAGGAAACUCACUUAGAGUAAUGUCUAAGUAUCAUUAAGUGAAUACAUAGCUUAAUGAGGGGAACUCAGGGAACUGAAACAUCUAAGUACCUGAAGGAAGAGAAAGAAAUUCGAUUCCGUAAGUAGCGGCGAGCGAACGCGGAUUAGCCCAAACCAAUAAAGUUUUCUUUAUUGGGGUUGCGGACAUAUCAUAACGAAGAGGUAUCGUAAUUGAAGAGGUUUGGAAAGACCCACCACAGAAGGUAAUAGUCCUGUAUGUUAAACGAGAAGACUUUAGAUAUGAUCCAGAGUACCACGGGACACGUGAAACCCUGUGGGAAGCAGGAGGGACCACCCUCCAAGGCUAAAUACUACCUAGUGACCGAUAGCGUAUAGUACCGUGAGGGAAAGGUGAAAAGAACCCCGGGAGGGGAGUGAAAUAGAACCUGAAACCCUGCACUUACAAGCUGUGGAAGCACAUUUCUUGUGUGACCGCGUACUUUUUGUAGAACGGGCCAACGAGUUACGUUAAGUAGCAAGGUUAAGCACUUAAGGUGCGGAGCCGUAGCGAAAGCGAGUUUUAACUGAGCGUUCAGUUACUUGACGUAGACCCGAAACCGGGCGACCUACCCAUGAGCAGGAUGAAGCGAAAGUAAAAUUUCGUGGAGGUCCGAACCCACGAGCGUUGAAAAGCUCGGGGAUGACUUGUGGGUAGCGGUGAAAUUCCAAUCGAGCCCGGAGAUAGCUGGUUCUCCCCGAAAUAGCUUUAGGGCUAGCCUCAAGGUGAGAGAUACGGAGGUAGAGCACUGAAUGUCCUAGGGGGUAUUGCACCUACCGAAGACUAUCAAACUCCGAAUGCCGUCAUCUUAUACUUGGGAGUCAGACUGUGGGUGAUAAGAUUCAUAGUCGAAAGGGCAACAGCCCAGAUCGUCAGCUAAGGUCCCUAAAUGUAAGUUAAGUGGUAAAGGAUGUGGGAUUGCACAGACAACCAGGAUGUUGGCUUAGAAGCAGCCACUCAUUCAAAGAGUGCGUAAUAGCUCACUGGUCGAGUGAUCCUGCGCCGAAGAUUUCCGGGGCUAAAACUUACUACCGAAGCUACGGCAUCAGUAAUGAUGGGUAGGGGAGCUUCCCAUACGGGUUGAAGCAUGACCGUAAGGACAUGUGGACAGUAUGGGAGUGAGAAUGUUGGCAUGAGUAGCGAGAUGUGGGUGAGAAUCCCACAGGCCGUAAACCCAAGGUUUCCAGGGGAAGGUUCGUCCGCCCUGGGUUAGUCGGGACCUAAGCUGAGGCCGAAAGGCGUAGGUGAUGGACAACAGGUUGAUAUUCCUGUACUACCGAUAACCGUUUGAGAGAAGGGAUGACACAGUAGGAUAAGCUAAGCACACUGUUGGUUAUGUGUGCCCAAGCAUUGAGGCAGUCAAAGUAGGCAAAUCCGCUUUGAUAAUGCUGGGAUGUGAUGGGGAGCGAAAUUUAGUAGCGAAGUAGCUGAUUUCACACUGUCAAGAAAAGUCUCUAUCGAGGUUAAAGGUACCCGUACCGCAAACCGACACAGGUGGGUGAGGAGAGUAUCCUAAGGCCAGCGAGAGAACUGUUGUUAAGGAACUCGGCAAAAUGACCCCGUAACUUAGGGAUAAGGGGUGCCACCAUCAGGUGGCCGCAGAGAAUAGGCCCAAGCGACUGUUUACCAAAAACAUAGGUUUCUGCUAAGUCGCAAGACGAUGUAUAGGAGCUGACGCCUGCCCGGUGCUGGAAGGUUAAGGGGAUCUGUUAGAGCAAUCGAAGCAGUGAACUUAAGCCCCAGUAAACGGCGGCCGUAACUAUAACGGUCCUAAGGUAGCGAAAUUCCUUGUCGGGUAAGUUCCGACCCGCACGAAAGGCGUAACGAUUUGGG
rnacentral:rRNA from 1 species